UAUGGUAUGUGUCAGCCGCCGCGGUAAUACGGAGGAUGCAAGCGUUAUCCGGAUUUAUUGGGUUUAAAGGGAGCGCAGACGGGUCGUUAAGUCAGCUGUGAAAGUUUGGGGCUCAACCUUAAAAUUGCAGUUGAUACUGGCGUCCUUGAGUGCGGUUGAGGUGUGCGGAAUUCGUGGUGUAGCGGUGAAAUGCUUAGAUAUCACGAAGAACUCCGAUUGCGAAGGCAGCACACUAAGCCGUAACUGACGUUCAUGCUCGAAAGUGUGGGUAUCAAACAGG
rnacentral:rRNA from 1 species